AGAGAGAGGUGGAGGGGAAAGAGAAGAAGAGAGAGGUGGAGGGGAAAGAGAAGAAGAGAGAGGUGGAGGGGAAAGAGAAGAAGAGAGAGGUGGAGGGGAAAGAGAAGAAGAGAGAGGUGGAGGGGAAAGAGAGAAGAGAGAGGUGGAGGGGAAAGAGAAGAAGAGAGAGGUGGAGGAGAAAAAGAAGAAGAGAGAGGUGGAGGAGAAAAAGAAGAAGAGAGAGGUGGAGGGGAAAGAGAAGAAGAGAGAGGUGGAGGAGAAAAAGAAGAAGAGAGAGGUGGAGGGGAAAAAGAAGAAGAGAGAGGUGGAGGGGAAAGAGAGAAGAGAGAGGUGGAGGGGAAAGAGAAGAAGAGAGAGGUGGAGGGGAAAGAGAAGAGAGGUGGAGGGGAAAGAGAAGAAGAGAGAGGUGGAGGGGAAAAAGAAGAAGAGAGAGGUGGAGGAGAAAAAGAAGAAGAGAGAGGUGGAGGGGAAAAAGAAGAAGAGAGAGGUGGAGGGGAAAGAGAGAAGAGAGAGGUGGAGGGGAAAGAGAAGAAGAGAGAGGUGGAGGGGAAAGAGAAGAGAGGUGGAGGGGAAAGAGAAGAGAGAGGAGGAGGGGAAAGAGAAGAGAGGUGGAGCGGAAAGAGAAGAGAGAGGAGGAGGGGAAAGAGAAGUGUUUUGACAUUGGAUAUCCGUGGUACAGAACGAUGCACCAGGUGGACUCUUCAGCAGAACCAGCUCAGAUGAGACACUUGUAAUCCUGAU